GGGUUGUGAGGUUAAGCGACUAAGCGUACACGGUGGAUGCCCUGGCAGUCAGAGGCGAUGAAGGACGUGCUAAUCUGCGAUAAGCGUCGGUAAGGUGAUAUGAACCGUUAUAACCGGCGAUUUCCGAAUGGGGAAACCCAGUGUGAUUCGUCACACUAUCAUUAACUGAAUCCAUAGGUUAAUGAGGCGAACCGGGGGAACUGAAACAUCUAAGUACCCCGAGGAAAAGAAAUCAACCGAGAUUCCCCCAGUAGCGGCGAGCGAACGGGGAGCAGCCCAGAGCCUGAAUCAGUGUGUGUGUUAGUGGAAGCGUCUGGAAAGGCGCGCGAUACAGGGUGACAGCCCCGUACACAAAAAUGCACAUACUGUGAGCUCGAUGAGUAGGGCGGGACACGUGGUAUCCUGUCUGAAUAUGGGGGGACCAUCCUCCAAGGCUAAAUACUCCUGACUGACCGAUAGUGAACCAGUACCGUGAGGGAAAGGCGAAAAGAAC
rnacentral:rRNA from 1 species